GGGUUGUGAGGUUAAGCGACUAAGCGUACACGGUGGAUGCCCUGGCAGUCAGAGGCGAUGAAGGGCGUGCUAAUCUGCGAUAAGCGCCGGUAAGGUGAUAUGAACCGUUAUAACCGGCGAUUUCCGAAUGGGGAAACCCAGUGUGAUUCGUCACACUAUCAUUAACUGAAUCCAUAGGUUAAUGAGGCGAACCGGGGGAACUGAAACAUCUAAGUACCCCGAGGAAAAGAAAUCAACCGAGAUUCCCCCAGUAGCGGCGAGCGAACGGGGAGGAGCCCAGAGCCUGAAUCAGCAUGUGUGUUAGUGGAAGCGUCUGGAAAGGCGCGCGAUACAGGGUGACAGCCCCGUACACAAAAGCGCAUGUGCUGUGAGCUCGAUGAGUAGGGCGGGACACGUGGUAUCCUGUCUGAAUAUGGGGGGACCAUCCUCCAAGGCUAAAUACUCCUGACUGACCGAUAGUGAACCAGUACCGUGAGGGAAAGGCGAAAAGAACCCCGGCGAGGGGAGUGAAAAAGAACCUGAAACCGUGUACGUACAAGCAGUGGGAGCACCCUUCGGGGUGUGACUGCGUACCUUUUGUAUAAUGGGUCAGCGACUUAUAUUCUGUAGCAAGGUUAACCGUAUAGGGGAGCCGGAGGGAAACCGAGUCUUAAUUGGGCGUUAAGUUGCAGGGUAUAGACCCGAAACCCGGUGAUCUAGCCAUGGGCAGGUUGAAGGUUGGGUAACACUAACUGGAGGACCGAACCGACUAAUGUUGAAAAAUUAGCGGAUGACCUGUGGCUGGGGGUGAAAGGCCAAUCAAACCGGGAGAUAGCUGGUUCUCCCCGAAAGCUAUUUAGGUAGCGCCUCGUGAAUUCAUCUCCGGGGGUAGAGCACUGUUUCGGCUAGGGGGCCAUCCCGGCUUACCAACCCGAUGCAAACUGCGAAUACCGGAGAAUGUUAUCACGGGAGACACACGGCGGGUGCUAACGUCCGUCGUGAAGAGGGAAACAACCCAGACCGCCAGCUAAGGUCCCAAAGUCAUGGUUAAGUGGGAAACGAUGUGGGAAGGCCCAGACAGCCAGGAUGUUGGCUUAGAAGCAGCCAUCAUUUAAAGAAAGCGUAAUAGCUCACUGGUCGAGUCGGCCUGCGCGGAAGAUGUAACGGGGCUAAACCAUGCACCGAAGCUGCGGCAGCGAACGUAUCACCCAAGACAACUUUACGGAGUUGACGAUUGACGGAGCGAAGCGACGUCAAAGCGUUCAUUAAAGUCGAGUUGGCUUAGGGAUACGUUCGUUGGGUAGGGGAGCGUUCUGUAAGCCUGUGAAGGUGUGUCGUGAGGCAUGCUGGAGGUAUCAGAAGUGCGAAUGCUGACAUAAGUAACGAUAAAGCGGGUGAAAAGCCCGCUCGCCGGAAGACCAAGGGUUCCUGUCCAACGUUAAUCGGGGCAGGGUGAGUCGACCCCUAAGGCGAGGCCGAAAGGCGUAGUCGAUGGGAAACGGGUUAAUAUUCCCGUACUUGGUGUUACUGCGAAGGGGGGACGGAGAAGGCUAUGUUGGCCGGGCGACGGUUGUCCCGGUUUAAGCGUGUAGGUGUGUGUUCCAGGUAAAUCCGGUUCACUUUAACACUGAGGCGUGACGACGAGGCACUACGGUGCUGAAGCAACAAAUGCCCUGCUUCCAGGAAAAGCCUCUAAGCAUCAGGUAACACGAAAUCGUACCCCAAACCGACACAGGUGGUCAGGUAGAGAAUACCAAGGCGCUUGAGAGAACUCGGGUGAAGGAACUAGGCAAAAUGGUGCCGUAACUUCGGGAGAAGGCACGCUGACACGUAGGUGAAGUGAUUUACUCAUGGAGCUGAAGUCAGUCGAAGAUACCAGCUGGCUGCAACUGUUUAUUAAAAACACAGCACUGUGCAAACACGAAAGUGGACGUAUACGGUGUGACGCCUGCCCGGUGCCGGAAGGUUAAUUGAUGGGGUCAGCGCAAGCGAAGCUCCUGAUCGAAGCCCCGGUAAACGGCGGCCGUAACUAUAACGGUCCUAAGGUAGCGAAAUUCCUUGUCGGGUAAGUUCCGACCUGCACGAAUGGCGUAAUGAUGGCCAGGCUGUCUCCACCCGAGACUCAGUGAAAUUGAACUCGCUGUGAAGAUGCAGUGUACCCGCGGCAAGACGGAAAGACCCCGUGAACCUUUACUAUAGCUUGACACUGAACAUUGAGCCUUGAUGUGUAGGAUAGGUGGGAGGCUUUGAAGUGUGGACGCCAGUCUGCAUGGAGCCGACCUUGAAAUACCACCCUUUAAUGUUUGAUGUUCUAACGUGGACCCGUAAUCCGGGUUGCGGACAGUGUCUGGUGGGUAGUUUGACUGGGGCGGUCUCCUCCUAAAGAGUAACGGAGGAGCACGAAGGUUGGCUAAUCCUGGUCGGACAUCAGGAGGUUAGUGCAAUGGCAUAAGCCAGCUUGACUGCGAGCGUGACGGCGCGAGCAGGUGCGAAAGCAGGUCAUAGUGAUCCGGUGGUUCUGAAUGGAAGGGCCAUCGCUCAACGGAUAAAAGGUACUCCGGGGAUAACAGGCUGAUACCGCCCAAGAGUUCAUAUCGACGGCGGUGUUUGGCACCUCGAUGUCGGCUCAUCACAUCCUGGGGCUGAAGUAGGUCCCAAGGGUAUGGCUGUUCGCCAUUUAAAGUGGUACGCGAGCUGGGUUUAGAACGUCGUGAGACAGUUCGGUCCCUAUCUGCCGUGGGCGCUGGAGAACUGAGGGGGGCUGCUCCUAGUACGAGAGGACCGGAGUGGACGCAUCACUGGUGUUCGGGUUGUCAUGCCAAUGGCACUGCCCGGUAGCUAAAUGCGGAAGAGAUAAGUGCUGAAAGCAUCUAAGCACGAAACUUGCCCCGAGAUGAGUUCUCCCUGAGACUUAGAGUCUCCUGAAGGAAGGUUGAAGACGACGACGUUGAUAGGCCGGGUGUGUAAGCGCAGCGAUGCGUUGAGCUAACCGGUACUAAUGAACCGUGAGGCUUAACCUUACAACGCCGAAG
rnacentral:rRNA from 1 species